UUAAAUUGAAGAGUUUGAUCAUGGCUCAGAUUGAACGCUGGCGGCAGGCCUAACACAUGCAAGUCGAACGGUAACAGGAAGCAGCUUGCUGCUUUGCUGACGAGUGGCGGACGGGUGAGUAAUGUCUGGGAAACUGCCUGAUGGAGGGGGAUAACUACUGGAAACGGUGGCUAAUACCGCAUAACGUCGCAAGACCAAAGAGGGGGACCUUCGGGCCUCUUGCCAUCAGAUGUGCCCAGAUGGGAUUAGCUUGUUGGUGAGGUAACGGCUCACCAAGGCGACGAUCCCUAGCUGGUCUGAGAGGAUGACCAGCCACACUGGAACUGAGACACGGUCCAGACUCCUACGGGAGGCAGCAGUGGGGAAUAUUGCACAAUGGGCGCAAGCCUGAUGCAGCCAUGCCGCGUGUAUGAAGAAGGCCUUCGGGUUGUAAAGUACUUUCAGCGGGGAGGAAGGUGUUGUGGUUAAUAACCACAGCAAUUGACGUUACCCGCAGAAGAAGCACCGGCUAACUCCGUGCCAGCAGCCGCGGUAAUACGGAGGGUGCAAGCGUUAAUCGGAAUUACUGGGCGUAAAGCGCACGCAGGCGGUCUGUCAAGUCGGAUGUGAAAUCCCCGGGCUCAACCUGGGAACUGCAUUCGAAACUGGCAGGCUUGAGUCUUGUAGAGGGGGGUAGAAUUCCAGGUGUAGCGGUGAAAUGCGUAGAGAUCUGGAGGAAUACCGGUGGCGAAGGCGGCCCCCUGGACAAAGACUGACGCUCAGGUGCGAAAGCGUGGGGAGCAAACAGGAUUAGAUACCCUGGUAGUCCACGCCGUAAACGAUGUCUACUUGGAGGUUGUGCCCUUGAGGCGUGGCUUCCGGAGCUAACGCGUUAAGUAGACCGCCUGGGGAGUACGGCCGCAAGGUUAAAACUCAAAUGAAUUGACGGGGGCCCGCACAAGCGGUGGAGCAUGUGGUUUAAUUCGAUGCAACGCGAAGAACCUUACCUGGUCUUGACAUCCACGGAAGUUUUCAGAGAUGAGAAUGUGCCUUCGGGAACCGUGAGACAGGUGCUGCAUGGCUGUCGUCAGCUCGUGUUGUGAAAUGUUGGGUUAAGUCCCGCAACGAGCGCAACCCUUAUCCUUUGUUGCCAGCGGUCCGGCCGGGAACUCAAAGGAGACUGCCAGUGAUAAACUGGAGGAAGGUGGGGAUGACGUCAAGUCAUCAUGGCCCUUACGACCAGGGCUACACACGUGCUACAAUGGCGCAUACAAAGAGAAGCGACCUCGCGAGAGCAAGCGGACCUCAUAAAGUGCGUCGUAGUCCGGAUUGGAGUCUGCAACUCGACUCCAUGAAGUCGGAAUCGCUAGUAAUCGUGGAUCAGAAUGCCACGGUGAAUACGUUCCCGGGCCUUGUACACACCGCCCGUCACACCAUGGGAGUGGGUUGCAAAAGAAGUAGGUAGCUUAACCUUCGGGAGGGCGCUUACCACUUUGUGAUUCAUGACUGGGGUGAAGUCGUAACAAGGUAACCGUAGGGGAACCUGCGGUUGGAUCACCUCCUUACCUUAAAGAA
rnacentral:rRNA from 1 species